CUGCCUUCUUUUGGCCUCACUUUAAGUUUCCUCCCAUGCCUAAGUGGAACCAUCCCCCUUUGCCCAAGUUUCCACUUCCCCCAUUCAAAGGCUUCCACCACCAUUAUCCAAUAAUCCCUCCCAUCUACAAGAAACCUCUUCCGCCACCGUCCCCGGUGUACAAGCCCCCUCCAGUUCCCGUAAACCCACCUGUUCCAAUCUAUAAACCUCCACCAGUUCCAGUCUAUAAACCUCCUCCAGUUCCAGUAAAACCACUUCCUCCACCUGUUCCGAUCUACAAACCUCCACCAGUUGAAAAACCACAUCCUCCACCUGUUCCAAUCUACAAACCUCCACCAGUUGAAAAACCACAUCCUCCACCUGUUCCAAUCUACAAACCUCCACCAGUUGAAAAACCACAUCCUCCACCUGUUCCAGUUUAUAAACCUCCACCAGUUGAAAAACCACAUCCUCCACCUGUUCCAGUCUAUAAACCUCCACCAGUUCCAGUAUAUAAGAAACCAUGUCCUCCACCAGUUCCAGUCUAUAAAUCUCCUCCGGUUCCAGUAUACAAGAAACCGCAUCCUCCUCCAGUUCCAGUCUAUAAGAAACCACAUCCACCUCCAGUUCCAGUAUACAAGAAACCAUGUCCUCCCCCAGUUCCAGUCUAUAAAUCUCCUCCAGUUCCGGAACCACAUCCUCCGCCAGUUCCAGUCCAUAAGCCUCCUCCAGUUCCGGUAUACAAGAAACGAGUCCCUCCUCCGGUUCCAAUCUACAAGCCCCCUCCAGUUCCUGUAUACAACAAACCACUACCUCCCCGGGUUCCAGUGUAUACGAAGCCACUUCCACCACCUGUUCCAACCUACAAUCCAAAACCCCUCCCUCCCAUUCCUUACAAGCCACUCCCUCCACUUCCCAAGAUCCCUCCAUUCCCUAAGAAGCCAUGCCCUCCCCUUCCUAAGCUACCUCCUCUUCCCAAGAUUCCUCCCAAGUAUUUCCACCACCACCCUCCUCUUCCUAAGCUGCCUCCUCUCCCUAAGAUUCCUCCCAAGUAUUUCCACCACCACCCCAAGUUCGGAAAAUGGCCUCCUUUGCCACCCUUUGCUCCCCAUCAUCCUUAAGCUAUCUUGCAUUGUUUUACGCAUUUAAUGAAGGUGGUUAGUGUGAACAAGUUCCCCAGCAGUACCUCAUGCAAUAAAUGUAGCAACAAAAGAAG
rnacentral:lncRNA from 1 species